rnacentral:rRNA from 1 species
AACGAACGCUGGCGGCAUGCCUAACACAUGCAAGUCGAACGAGAUCUUCGGGUCUAGUGGCGCACGGGUGCGUAACGCGUGGGAAUCUGCCCUUUGGUUCGGAAUAACAGUUGGAAACGACUGCUAAUACCGGAUGAUGACGGAAGUCCAAAGAUUUAUCGCCAGAGGAUGAGCCCGCGUAGGAUUAGCUAGUUGGUGUGGUAAAGGCGCACCAAGGCGACGAUCCUUAGCUGGUCUGAGAGGAUGAUCAGCCACACUGGGACUGAGACACGGCCCAGACUCCUACGGGAGGCAGCAGUGGGGAAUAUUGGACAAUGGGCGAAAGCCUGAUCCAGCAAUGCCGCGUGAGUGAUGAAGGCCUUAGGGUUGUAAAGCCCUUUUACCCGGGAUGAUAUGACAGUACCGGGAGAAUAAGCUCCGGCUAACUCCGUGCCAGCCGCCGCCGUAA